rfam:Aedes aegypti strain Liverpool supercont1.138 genomic scaffold, whole genome shotgun sequence.
AAAACGGCUCUUUUCAGGGCCAAUAUUACAAUUAAAGAGUUGU